rnacentral:rRNA from 1 species
AAUACGGGGGGUGCAAGCGUUGCUCGGAAUCACUGGGCGUAAAGCGUCCGCAGGUGGGUGUGUAUGUCGGAUGUGAAAGCCCAGGGCUCAACCCUGGAACUGCAUUCGAAACUGCACAUCUUGAGUACGGGAGAGGGAAGCAGAAUUCCUGGUGUAGAGGUGAAAUUCGUAGAUAUCAGGAGGAAUACCUGUGGCGAAAGCGGCUUCCUGGUCCGAUACUGACACUCAUGGACGAGAGCGCGGGGAGCAAACAGGA